AACGGAAGCUCAAGUGGGGGAAAAUGAUAGGGGGCCAAAAGCGUUCGUAGCCGGUUUGAUAAGUCUCUGGUGAAAUCCCGCAGCUUAACUGUGGGACUUGCUGGAGAUACUAUUAGACUUGAGGUCGGGAGAGGUUAGGGGUACUCCCAGGGUAGGGGUGAAAUCCUAUAAUCCUGGGAGGACCACCUGUGGCGAAGGCGCCUAACUGGAACGAACCUGACGGUGAGUAACGAAAGCCAGGGGCGCGAACCG
rnacentral:rRNA from 1 species